rnacentral:lncRNA from 1 species
UAGCGUAACUUCUCCAUCCUAACUCGUUUUCUCCUGAAACUUUAUGAGUGCUUAUAUAAUUACAUUCCACACAAAAAAAUCGUCAACAGAGGGUUCAGCUACACUGUCAAAUCUCGGAUAUUACAAUCAUUCCAUUAUUAUAAGAAAUAAGAAGGAAUUUCAUAAAGUAGCCCGAUUGAAAUAGAAAUAGAAAUCCAAGA